rnacentral:rRNA from 1 species
UACGGAGGGUGCAAGCGUUAAUCGGAAUUACUGGGCGUAAAGCGCACGCAGGCGGUCUGUCAAGUCGGAUGUGAAAUCCCCGGGCUCAACCUGGGAACUGCAUUCGAAACUGGAAGGCUAGAGUCUGGUAGAGGGGGGUAGAAUUCCAGGUGUAGCGGUGAAAUGCGUAGAGAUCUGGAGGAAUACCGGUGGCGAAGGCGGCCCCCUGGACAAAGACUGACGCUCAGGUGCGAAAGCGUGGGGAGCAAACAGGAUUAGAUACCCUGGUAGUCCACGCCGUAAACGAUGUCGAUUUGUAGGUUGUGCCCUUGAGGCGUGGCUUCCGGAGCUAACGCGUUAAAUCGACCGCCUGGGGAGUACGGCCGCAAGGUUAAA